rnacentral:lncRNA from 1 species
AAUGUGAUGAUUAUAGAACAAGGGAGAUUCUUUUGGCUUCUGUCUUUUUGCUAAUUUUUGCUAUUAAAGCUUAUAUGGAGCGACCAACAGUCCUCUUUUAUGAGUAGGUGAGAAAUAGAGAUUAGACUGUACACCAGUCCAUUCUGAGGAUUAAGUCUGAUAGUGAGAUUUUAACCAUGUAUUAAAGUUCAACUUGAAUUAUGAGAUUAUUAAUGAAUGAUUUUGUUUUGUGAUAUGUAUAUGUUGUGUUAUAAUUUAUUACUUAUGUAUGUAAAUAAAAAUUUAUAUUAAUACGAGUGACUAUUUAUAUAAAUUAUUUUAAUUUAAUAACAUAUGGCAAUAAUUGUUGCAAUAGAUCAAUAAACCAUUGCAAUAGGUAGUCAAAAAGCAUUGCAACAGAAUAAAAAAAGUGUUGCAAUAGAUG